GGGCCAGUAGCUCCAAUUGGCAGAGCGACUGUUUUGCACACAGUAGGUUCCGGGUUCAAAUCCCGGUUGGUCCA
rnacentral:tRNA from 1 species